UUGCUAAGUUUGAUGGCGACCGGCGCACGGGUGAGUAACACGUAUCCAACCUGCCCUUUACUCGGGGAUAGCCUUUCGAAAGAAAGAUUAAUACCCGAUAGUAUAAUGAUUCCGCAUGGUUUCAUUAUUAAAGGAUUCCGGUAAAGGAUGGGGAUGCGUUCCAUUAGGUUGUUGGUGAGGUAACGGCUCACCAAGCCUUCGAUGGAUAGGGGUUCUGAGAGGAAGGUCCCCCACAUUGGAACUGAGACACGGUCCAAACUCCUACGGGAGGCAGCAUG
rnacentral:rRNA from 1 species